GGAAUAUAAGAACCCGUCUCUUAGUUUCUAAUUAAAAAAAUUAAGAACCGGUUCUUAAAUAUCUUAUUUAAGAACCGGUUCUUAGCUUUUUUAGUUAAAAGUUAAGAGACGGGUUCUUAUAUUCC
rfam:Brassica napus, WGS project CCCW01000000 data, contig: 6604